UUUAUGGAGAGUUUGAUCCUGGCUCAGGAUGAACGCUGGCGGCGUGCCUAAUACAUGCAAGUCGAGCGAACGGACGAGAAGCUUGCUUCUCUGAUGUUAGCGGCGGACGGGUGAGUAACACGUGGAUAACCUACCUAUAAGACUGGGAUAACUUCGGGAAACCGGAGCUAAUACCGGAUAAUAUUUUGAACCGCAU
rnacentral:rRNA from 1 species